UUUUCUCUUUUAAGGUACUGUUUUUUUUUUAAAUAUUUUUCACUUUUAAUAUCAUUUUAAGAUAUUGUUUCAAACUUUUAGAGAUUUUUUAAAAAAUAUUUUAUAAUAUGGUGAUGAUUUUAUUUUAAGUCUUUAAUUUUUAAUUUACCGAAAUUAUGUAUCUAUACCUGUUAUAAAAUAGGUAAAUGGAGAAUGGAGUGAGGAUGAGGGAAUCAUUCUCCACGUGAGGAUUUCCCAUCUCCACCUCACUAAAUUUAUUGGGGAAUGGGGUGGGGAUGGAGGCAAAAAAUUUUAAUGGGGUGGGGAAUGGAGUAGGCCUCCCCACCCCAUUGCCAUCCCUAUAUUUGUUGUUAUAUUACUCUCUGAGAGAGAGGGAAGCCAUCUAAGUUGCCUUGAGCUUCAAUUGUAUUUGAACUUGAUGCUAGCGGCCAUAUCUGCUUCCGAGGGUAAAGUUGGGCAGUCAGGCGGCCGUAUAGUAACUGUAUAUCUUUGACUAAAAAAAAAAAAAAUGAUACUGAUAAUUUUUCCUGAAAAGCAGCUUUGUUGAUGAUCAUCGAUGUGAAUACAAUUGUUCUAAAUAUGUUCUACUUCGUAUGGAGUGGGAACUGGGAAGCUUUUCAACUCAUGCUGCUGAGGAUAAGACGUCAAUGUACCAUGUUUGUGUUUAAUCACCUGUAACAACUAAGGAGAAUGUCUCUAAUACAUUUCUUUCUAUUUCUAUUAUUUUAACCAUUCAAAGAUCGGGCCAUAAAUUGAUUUCUUUUAAAUUUUCACAUUAAUAGAUGGGGGCAUAAAUUGAUGAACCUACCCAUUAUUUGUUCAAUGUACCAUGUUUGUGUUUAAUCACCUGUAACAACUAAGGAGAAUGUCUCUAAUACAUUUCUUUCUAUUUCUAUUAUUUUAACCAUUCAAAGAUCGGGCCAUAAAUUGAUUUCUUUUAAAUUUUCACAUUAAUAGAUGGGGGCAUAAAUUGAUGAACCUACCCAUUAUUUGUUUCCAACAAGUGGUUCCGGUGGGGUUCAUCACUGGGAACAAUGACCAUUCCUCUGCAUUCAUGCGC
rnacentral:lncRNA from 1 species